UUGCGGUUAAAAAGCUCGUAGUUGGAUUUCUGUUGAGGGCAAUCGGUCCGGACUUUGGUCUGUGCAUCUGAUUUGACCUCGGCAUCCUCUCAAAGCCGUAUUGCGCUUCGUUGUCGUGAUGCGAACUUUGGGACUUUUACUUUGAGGAAAUUAGAGUGUUCACGGCAGGCAUGCGCCUUGAAUAUAUUAGCAUGGAAUAAUAAUAUAGGAUCUUGGUUCUAUUUUGUUGGUUUCUAGAGCUAGGAUAAUGAUUAAUAGGGACAAUUGGGGGCAUUCGUAU
rnacentral:rRNA from 1 species